GGGACAGGGGGGUCUCCGCCGGUCGGCGGGGCCUGUCCACGGGUUGCGUGAAGGCGCGGCCAAGUGGUUGUCGCUCGGGGGUGAUCGCCG
rfam:Streptomyces sp. Tu6071 chromosome, whole genome shotgun sequence.